GCAGCAAGCCACUUUGUCGCUUUAAUUUAUUUAAAGAGGAAAGUCCGGGCUCCAAAGAGUAGCAUAGCGGGUAACGCCCGUCCGUCGAGAGGCGAGGACAAGUGCAACAGAAAGUAUGUACAGUUCGGCUGUAGUGAAACCAGGUAAACUCUAUGCGGAGCAAUGCCAUGUAUACCAGCAGUUAAGAGCUACUCGCUCGUUGCUGGGGGGUAGGCAGAUUGAUGUUUAGGGUAACUUAAAUACUAGAUAAAUGACAAAGCAUUACAUUGUAAUGACAGAACCCGGCUUAUAGGCUUGCUAUUUUC
rnacentral:RNase_P_RNA from 1 species